UGCGUAGGCGGUUGAUUAAGUUGGAUGUGAAAUACCCGGGCUUAACUUGGGGGGUGCAUUCAAAACUGGUUAACUAGAGUACAGGAGAGGGAAGCGGAAUUCCUAGUGUAGCGGUGAAAUGCGUAGAUAUUAGGAGGAACACCGGUGGCGAAGGCGGCUUUCUGGACUGACACUGACGCUGAGGCACGAAAGCGUGGGGAGCAAACA
rnacentral:rRNA from 1 species